GGGAAGGUGGCUCAGUGGUAGAGCACUUGCCUUGCAUGCUCGAGGCCCUGGGUUUGAUUCCUCAGUCCCA
rnacentral:tRNA from 1 species